UGUGGCCAGCCCAGUGGCCCAAGUAGGAGGAAGAGAGAUACAUGAAGCAGGUCUGGACGCACACUCAGUCUAGAUUAGCUACUCCCCAGCCAACCCACAGAUGUACAAGCAAGACCUAAAGCACCAUUAGACGUCCUCCAUUGGAUCUUGCAACAGACGUAGGUGCAUUUGUCUUAAGUGCUGGCAAAAAGGACCUAAUGGAAUCCUAGACUUGAGGUA